CUUCUCNGAUGUUAGCGGCGGACGGGUGANUAACACGUGGAUAACCUACCUAUAAGACUGGGAUAACUUCGGGAAACCGGANCUAAUACCGGAUAAUAUUUUGAACCGCAUGGUUCAAAAGUGAAAGACGGUCUUGCUGUCACUUAUAGAUGGAUCCGCGCUGCAUUAGCUAGUUGGUAAGGUAACGGCUUACCAAGGCAACGAUGCAUAGCCGACCUGAGAGGGUGAUCGGCCACACUGGAACUGANACACGGUCCAGACUCCUACGGGAGGCAGCAGUANGGAAUCUUCCGCAAUGGGCGAAAGCCUGACGGANCAACGCCGCGUGAGUGAUGAAGGUCUUCGGAUCGUAAAACUCUGUUAUUANGGAAGAACAUAUGUGUAAGUAACUGUGCACAUCUUGACGGUACCUANUCAGAAAGCCACGGCUAACUACGUGCCAGCAGCCGCGGUAAUACGUNNNGGCAAGCGUUAUCCGGAAUUAUUGGGCGUAAAGCGCGCGUNNCGGUUUUUAANUCUGAUGUGAAAGCCNCGGCUCAACCGUGGAGGGUCNUUGNAACUNNAAACUUGANUGNANANAGGAAGUGAAUUCCAU
rnacentral:rRNA from 1 species